rnacentral:misc_RNA from 1 species
GAUGAAGAACGUAGCGAAAUGCGAUACGUAGUGUGAAUUGCAGAAUUCAGUGAAUCAUCGAAUCUUUGAACGCACAUUGCGCCAUUUGGUAUUCCAAAGGGCAUGCCUGUUCGAGCGUCAUUUGUACCCUCAAGCUUUGCUUGGUGUUGGGCGUCUUGUCUCCAGUCCGCUGGAGACUCGCCUUAAAGUCAUUGGCAGCCGGCCUACUGGUUUCGGAGCGCAGCACAAGUCGCACUCUUUUCCAGCCAAGGUCAGCGUCCAACAAGCCUUUUUUCAACUUUUGACCUCGGAUCAGGUAGGGAUACCCGCUGAACUUAAGCAUAUCAAUAAGCGGAGGA